GCGGGCAGCUCAAGGCGCGCGCUCCCGUGAACGCGGGAGGGAGGCGGGGGCGGAGCGCGCGCGGCAGCCAGGAGGGGCCGGGAGGCGGAGUCUUAGGGCGACUGCAGGAAGAGGGCGCCCUGGAGCCGAGCAGGCGCCGGAUGAGGGCGGGACCACGGUGGAGGGGGCGGGGGGAAGGCCUUGACGCUAAGGGGUGGGGUGAAGCGAAGCGGGGACGCGCUUGCGGGGUGGGGAAGGCGGGGGCGCGGCGGUGGCGGGAGCGUCCACGGUCUCCGCCCGUUUCCCACUCUCCUUCCACCUCCCACCGGCUGGGACUCCGGAGAGGCGCCGUGUGCCAGUUCCCGGAGCCGCCCUGCAGCCGCCGCCUCCUUCCUCCGCUGUGGUGAGCCCGUCAGUCUCCGCAGUGUGCGCUCCUCCGUCUGGGCCAUGGAUGGUGUUGUUACAGAUCUUAUAGCAGUCGGUUUAAAGCGGGGAUCUGAUGAGCUUCUUCCUUCUGGCAACAUUGACGGACCUUUUACCAUGAAUAAUUCUACUUCUACAGGUGUGUAUGCUAAUGGGAAUGACAACAAGAAAUUUAAAGGAGAUAGACCUCCCUGUUCGCCUUCCCGUGUUCUCCAUCUUCGCAAAAUUCCAAGUGAUGUCACCGAAGCAGAGGUCAUAUCAUUAGGUCUACCAUUUGGCAAAGUAACUAAUCUUUUGAUGUUGAAAGGAAAAAGCCAGGCUUUCUUGGAAAUGGCUUCUGAGGAAGCUGCUGUUACUAUGGUGAAUUAUUAUACUCCUGUUACUCCUCACCUUCGAAGCCAGCCUGUUUUUAUUCAGUAUUCCAAUCACAGAGAACUUAAGACUGACAAUCUACCUAAUCAAGCUAGAGCCCAAGCUGCACUGCAGGCUGUCAGUGCUGUCCAGUCAGGAAGUCUGGCCCUUCCUGGAGCUCCUACCAAUGAAGGCACAAUCCUACCUGGGCAGAGCCCUGUGCUCCGAAUAAUUAUUGAAAACCUCUUUUACCCUGUUACUCUGGAAGUUCUUCAUCAGAUAUUUUCUAAAUUUGGCACCGUCUUGAAGAUUAUUACCUUUACAAAGAAUAAUCAGUUUCAAGCCUUGCUUCAGUAUGCUGACCCAUUGAAUGCACAUUAUGCCAAACUGGCUCUGGAUGGCCAGAAUAUCUAUAAUGCAUGCUGCACUCUGCGUAUUGACUUCUCCAAGCUCACCAGCCUUAAUGUGAAAUAUAAUAAUGACAAAAGCAGAGACUUCACUCGCUUAGACCUUCCUACUGGUGAUGGCCAGCCAUCUCUUGAACCCCCUAUGGCUGCUGCUUUUGGUGCACCAGGCAUAAUUUCCUCACCAUAUGCAGGGGCUGCUGGAUUUGCCCCAGCCAUUGGAUUUCCUCAAGCUACAGGUCUAUCAGUCCCAGCUGUUCCUGGAGCUCUAGGUCCUCUCACAAUCACCUCCUCUGCUGUCACUGGAAGGAUGGCCAUUCCUGGGGCUAGUGGUAUACCAGGAAAUUCUGUUCUACUCGUCACCAAUCUCAAUCCUGAUCUUAUCACACCACAUGGGCUUUUUAUCUUAUUUGGAGUAUAUGGUGAUGUGCAUCGAGUGAAGAUUAUGUUUAAUAAGAAAGAAAAUGCCUUGGUUCAGAUGGCAGAUGCAAAUCAAGCUCAGCUAGCAAUGAACCAUCUGAGCGGUCAGAGACUGUAUGGGAAAGUGCUUCGAGCGACACUGUCCAAACAUCAAGCAGUGCAGCUUCCUCGGGAGGGACAAGAAGAUCAAGGUCUCACUAAGGAUUUUAGCAAUAGUCCUUUACAUCGCUUUAAAAAGCCUGGUUCUAAAAACUUCCAGAAUAUUUUUCCACCAUCAGCCACUCUGCAUCUUUCCAACAUCCCCCCUUCUGUUACAGUUGAUGAUCUGAAGAACCUUUUUACAGAAGCUGGAUGUUCAGUGAAGGCUUUUAAAUUCUUUCAGAAAGAUCGCAAAAUGGCACUCAUUCAGUUAGGAUCUGUGGAAGAAGCAAUCCAGGCCCUCAUUGAGCUUCAUAACCAUGACCUUGGAGAAAAUCACCACCUCAGAGUUUCCUUUUCAAAAUCUACAAUCUAACUUUUCUGUGAAUUUUUUCUCCUAAGACUGGACCAUAAUUUCAGUAAAACCUUCAGACGUAGACAAGCAGCUCAAGACCAAUUCUGCCUCUUUCACAAAAAUAACUUUCUGAGUUUGAUAUUCAAAUAUAUUUAAGAAAAUCAAGGGAUGUUAUUUUUUCCCAUGUUUUCCCCCCCUGCAAAUAUGUGAUCAAAGGUUUGUUUAUCCUUUGUACCAUAGUUUCUAUGAAAACAACUUUCAGGGAAAAAAAAAUCAGGAAAAAAUUUUUUCCCAAUAAUUUAGUUCCCUAUAUUAAAUUGGGUUUCAAGAGGACAGACUUUCUUUUAGUUUGGGUCCAGAUCAGUCUUAUACAAUAUUUCUAAACUCCUUUGUACUUUGAAAAAUUUAAGCAUACAUAUACUUUUACAAUUACUUGAGGUAAGUAAUUUAUAUUACCUACAAUCAAGUUUUUAACUUGAUGAUUCAGAAGUUCGACCCCUAUAGGAAAUUGUUCACUUAUAAAUUAUAUAGAUUAUUUGGCAUAUAUUGAUAGUUAUUAUACAUAAACAAAAAUUGGGGUAUAUUUGAAGCAAAUUUAUAAACUUGCAUGUUUUCUUUGACUGAUUCCUUUUUUUCUCUGUAAGACACCCCUUUGAAUAAUGCAUAUAUUUAACUUCAUAAGAAUUUGUAGAAAUGAAGUGUCUCAGCUGUCCCCAAGGAAAUUAAGUGGAAUCCAACAAGGAUCUAUUAAGUUGUCAGAAUAAUUAAUAAUUUUAUUAGGAAAACUCAUGUUUUAAAUUUCAGAAUGACACAUUUGCUGAGUAAUAUAAUGUCAUCUUGAAAAUUUAAAAAAAAUCCUACUUAUAAACUACUUUUUUAUAAUUGUUUUCAGAAAAAACGUUUACAGUCUUAAGGAAAUAUUCAGGUCUAUCAUAUGGUUUGACAGAUUUUUUAAAAGUUAUUUUUGGUAAGGUCUUCUUUUAGAAAAAAAAUAAUCUCAAGGGUUUUUUGUACCACUAUAAUCUCUAAUACUUAUUCAGAAUUACUGUGUAUUUACUUAAUUUCUUAUUAUGUGCCUUAUUAUGUGCUUAUGAUACAAUAGGUUAGAGUUUUAUCUAAGUAUCUUGAAAGCUAUAUUGUGGGCUUGGUGAGCAUUUUGUUUUUUCACUCCUUGUUUUGGUAAAGAUUUUAAAGUUUUUUUCAUUGCAAUUUUAAGUGGUUUUCAAUAAGUAAUAGUUUCUAUUUAAAUUUUUGGUGCUUUGGUGCAGAGAUGGGGUGGGGAUGGGUAAAUGGUUUGGAGAGUAACUCAGUACACACCUGUAGGCCUCUUCAUGUGGUGACCAGUAGGUCAUUGCCAGUUACAGUGUACCAAUUUGGGGCUAUACAAUGCAGUCUCAGUUUCUGGAUCUUGUUUGAUCUCUAUCACCCAUUAGAAUUUGUCUCAGGAUUACUUGUUUUUUUCUCAGUACUCAAAAAAGAACUUGCUUUUCUUUGUUACUGUAGCUUCAUUACUCAGUGCCCGUGGAGCUAGAGGAUGAGAAGGUGGUUUUUUUCUCAUACUCUGUCUCUUUCUUUUUGGUUGAAUGUAAGAGUACACUUUAAUGUUGUUUCAGUGGUUAUAAAAUGUAGAACUUUUUUUAAUGAGAAACUUUACUUUCAUUAAUUACUCCAUCAGUGUUUGAUCAGAUUUUUUAAAAGGAGUACUUGUCAAAAGGGUCAUUUUUGUCCACCCCUUUUACACUUUUAAGAUUCUCAGAGUGGCUCAUCUCACCCUUUAAAAAGAAUAUUUCAAUCUCUUUGAUAUAUUUCAACCAUGAAUUUGAACACAGGUUUUUCCAAAAGAAAUGUUAAAAAAUUAGAGACGAUAAAAGAUAGUAUAAAUUGUUAAAAAGUAGAUUCACUCAACACUGAACAACAGUUAGUUGGUUGAACUAAAUGGAAACCUUCAGAUGGAUCAGUUUUAGCAUUAGCUGAAUAGAGAGGAUUAAUCAUUUAUCUAAUUUGAUUUUUUCCAAAUAUAAAGUAUAUUUUUACUGAAACACCAAGUGAGAAGGAAAAUCAAUUUCUUUGAGAAAUCUCCCAAAAUUUGCUUCUUUUUUUUCCUUGCAUAUAGGCACAUUAUAAUUUUUAGUAGCGUGUUACAUCAGAUUAUUUCAUUUGAGGUAGGAAUGACUGUAAUUGUAAUUCCUGAUUCUUACAACAUUCAGUGUAAGUGUAGCAAAAGUGUAGCAGAAAGGAGAUCAUAAUGGGGUUGAAUAUAAUUUUGAAGUAGGGAAAGGCCUUUAAAUCUUAGAACAUUUGAAUCCUUUUCAGGGAUUUGUGUAUGUGUAUAGAUAAGUGUAUAUACAUAUGUACACUCCUCUAAUGUACAUAUAUAUGCACAUUACAUACAUUUUAAUUUAUCGAUAAAAUCAAAUUAAGAUUUGGAAAAGUGAGAUGCUUGUUUAAAAUAGUGUAUUUGAAACCAUCAAUUUGUGUCUGAAAUUAGCUGUAGCACAUGGCUGUUGUCCAUAUUGGGCUAUUUGCUGUUUGAAUUACAGAGGUCUACAGUAUUUGUUGGUAUAGUUUCUGUAAAAAUGUCAGGGGAGUAGAAAAACUAGAUAUUUGUAUUUUUGUUUUGGCAUGCAUUUAUUUGAUAUCUUCUAAGCAAUGUUUUUUUUUGCUGUUUGAGCUGUCAUAGUAUCCUAUUUUUAGGUUUAUUUACUUUAUUUUAAGGAAUAUUGUCUUGUCACUUUUAGAAGUGUCUUUGACUUUACACAAAGUAUAUAUAUUCAGGACUUUAAAAAAUAGCAGUACACAGUUAACAAUAGCAAUUUAUGCCAAAAAGUUUUACUUUGAGAUUUAAAUAACUUGCAUAGCAGUAAAAUGUGUUUUCUGUGAGAUACAAAUAGAAAAUACCCAGUGUCUUAAUUGAUAACUUACUGGAGAGUAUCAGAAUUCCUCAGUAGCCCCUGGAGAAUGCCAUAAAUUGUUUGUGUAAGACUAAAUAUUGUAAUCUGUUAGUUACAGAAAUGUUUCUGAUUCUGUGUUGAAAGAUACAGAUCUCACAGUUUUUAGAGAGACAAUUUCUGCCUGCCUAAUUCCUUAUGGGAGCAAUUCCUCCUUUGGCUCCACCUAGGAUGGUUGAUCAUAGGUUCUGUGUCAGUUGAUAAAAAGUGUGCUCAUGAAUAUCUGUUCAGUUUCAUAUAAACUUUUCAAAGCUUCAAUGUCAUUAGGCAGCAAAGUUUAUACAUUGAGUAUAUUAUCAUGCAGUUUCUCUUCUGUUUCCACAUAAUAUUUUCAGACAAAAGAUGAUAAGCUCAAAAGUAUGUGUUUUACCCUCUCUCACUUAAAAACCCUAUGUUUGCCAAACUGUCAGCCUCUUUUAUAAAACCUAAUGUGUACUGCUAUUUUUAAAACCAAAAAGGCAACAUUACUAUGCGUAAAAGCAUUUUUCUUAGCCUUUCCUUUGUCUUGAUCAGUUGGUAACAAGAAUAAAACCACCAGACUUAAAAUAGUCUACUAUUGUGCUAGAAGAAAUACAAUUUAGAUUGCACAAAACUUUUCCUUUAAAGAAAAUAUAACUCAGCUGUCUUUUAAAACAGCUGUGUUCUUAUCUACAAGACUAUUUGCAGUCUUUUUUCAGAGCAAAUUCUAACCGUUGUGAAUGACUUAAAAUAUAGGAAAUUACUGAAAUACUAGUUUUUGGUGUUUUAUAGAGGGAGAGAAAACAGGACCAAAGUUUAUGUGCCUUCUUCAGUAGUCUUAAUUGACCUUUUCUUCCUAUUUGAGACCAAGGUAGUAGUAUCAGUAUUCUGGUUUCAGGAAAUAUGUACUAUGUAGUUUUAAAAGAAUGUUAUCCCAUAGGCUAUUCACACAAGCAGAAAAUUGUAGCUGUAUAAAUGAAGUCUCAGUUACACUUUUGCCUUUAUCACAUAUUCUUCAUUAUGUAACAUGCAGGUCCAAGAGCAGAGCUGCUCUACAUCUUUGUGGCAGUCAUCUUAGUUUUUGUAACCUGAGGCAUAUGUUCCAGAGAACAGGGAUAUUUGUCUGGUCCAGUGACCUUGGUGAUACUUGUCAUGAUUGAAAGCUGCUUAUGGCAAGCUUAAGUCAACACUGUAAACAGGUUUUUGUUGUUAUUUUCAGUUUUGGAUCUAUGUAGUAGUUGUAAUAACAAAUAUUUAAAUAGCUAUUUUUGAUGUCAUUUAAUAAAAAUCAUAACUCUGGCCUUUUUCCCCCCUUAGCAUUAUUACCCAUAUUUUUUAAGAAUUCAUCCCACAUCCAGAAAAUAUUAAUUGUAGGGAUUGCUGACCAAGCAAAGUUUUGCAUCAAAAUGUCACCUCCUUGCUCUGACCAAAGACUGGCUGUUCUGGUUUUAACUCCUCUCUGUUCAGCAUUCUUUCCCAAGCUCCUUUCUGAAAGAAGACCCAGUGCAAAGCAGCCUUUGCUUUCUAUUUCCUAUUGGUGAAUAGACUACUUAGAGAAAAUGGGGGUUUAAAUGUGAACAGAAUGGGUUUGAUGGGCAUUUUCAGUACUGUAUUUAAGAAAAAAAAAAUAGCACAGCUAGGAGCCUCUGACAUUGUCUUGUGUUCUACAUGGUCUGUUCAUAAAAUUCCCUUUUUCAGUUUGUAAGAAUGUUCAUCUAACAGAAGAAAAUGCUGUAAAUAUUUGUAGCAACAUUUUUUUUUUUAACCAGGCCAAAAAAAAAAAAAAUGUUUUGGGGAACAAGUUAACAUAUAAAGUGGUUUUAUAUAAAAUGUCAAUUGUCUUGUAUAUUUUGAUAAGCAGCAGUACCAGCUUUCAUUUGUAACACAGUUUGUGGCAUUGGAAGAAAAGGAUUCUGUGAUUGUUGAAGUGAAUUAUGUUAUAAAUGCAAAGAGAAGAUAAAAUAUUAAAAAACAUAUUUUCUAAAUGCGAAGUGCAUGGUUAAUUCAAGCUUCUGUACACUACAAUAUAAUCCAUUUUUGUUCAGUUUGUAUAUUUGCUGACUAUUACUUGGUAUCUCUAAUCUCUUUUCCUAACAAGUAUAGCAUUGUAGCAUGCCUUUUAAUAAAUGUCAUGACAUCUGUACGCUCUUAAAAUU